CAGUGGCCUAAUGGCAGAACAUCUGCCUUAGAUACAGGAGGGUGCAGGUUCGAACCCUGGCCAAAUCGU